GCUUCCUGGCUCCGCCCACUCUGGUGUCCAGAGGGGCUCGACCCUCUCCGGGGCGGCGGGGAGCCGCACCGCCUCGCUACAGGGCAGGGACUGAGUCUUUUGAUCUGCACUGUCUAAGAGGCAGGCUGAGCCAGCUAAUAGGGCACCAGGCUGGGCUUCAGGAGACCUGGCUUCUAUUCCCGGCUCUGCCACUGACCUGCUGUGAGACCUGGGGCAAGUCACUUCCCCUCGCUGGGCCUCUGUUUCCCCUUCUGUCUUGUCUGUUUAAACGUUAUUCAACUAGCUGUACUAAGAACAGAACCAGUUUGGCCAAGGCAGAAAUCAAGAAUUGGACCAAAUAGCUGCUGUCGCUGAGUGUUUUAUUCCCCCACUGCCAUAAAUUCCAUCCUGUUUGGUUCCUGAGAGCAGAACCAGCCUGGUGAAACGUACAGCAACCAUCAGCGUGACAGCUGCUGAAACCAUCCACCCUAUUAGUAUAACCCUGCUGCACAGGCUGCAGCAUGUAUGCAGCCAACCUGACCCAUUGGGGCGAUUUAUGAAUAUAACCACAGCAAGGAAUGAAAUCACCCAUCAUCCUUCAGGGUUUCUACGCGAACUGGAAAAGAGAUAUUUUUAAAGCAAUUUUUUUCAUAUUUCAAUUGCAAUAACUCAAUAUCCAGAAGACAGAUUUAAAAAAAAAAAUCUACCGGUUUCAAGGCUCUGAGUCAUCUCCCACAGAAAUCAAUGGCAAGACUCCCGUUGGCAUCAGGAGGCAUUGGUUCAGGCCCUGCGUUUGCCUGGCAGCCGGUACAAUGGAACCACGAUCCCGACAGGAAGACUGCUGAAAACACCUGAAGAAGCAAAGGAACUAAGCUGGGGGCUGGGGGCUGAAUCCAGGCGAGACAGAUCAGCCUGUGAAAGGAAUCCCUGAAAAUUUAAGCUGAAAGCAGUGCAGUUUACCUUCAAGAAACUCUGACGCGUGCUUGAAACAACAUGUAGGGGCUGUUUUGUGCUCCAGUGGGAAAUGCCCCUGUUUCAGUGCACAGAACGAAUGUACGGCACAGAGCAUUAAUAGUGGCUCUUCUCAGACCCUCUCCAAUUUAUCAACAUCCUUCUUGAACUGGAUGUAGCAGUUGCACCAGUGCCAAAUACAGAGCUGAUUUUCUGCCACAACUCCCAAUCAUUUUCAGAGUCACUGCUUCCCAUGAUAAAGUCACCCAGCCUCUCAUUGUAAUUCAGAAAAAUAUAUUUCCAGUUUUCCUCUUCGUGGUCCCAAUCCUGCUCCCUUUGGAGUGAAUUGCAAAACUCCUUCUGACUCUGUAUGUGCUGCAUCAGACCAUAUGAAAGGAGCGUGUCAUCCCAAUACAGUAGUACUCUGGGAAGACUGUUUUUAAUGGCUGUAUUUUCCAUAGUGCUAACGCUCGUCUCAGAAAUGAGCAGCGCAGACGGCUGUGGAAGCAACCGCCCCCUGGGCUUUGGCAAAGGAUAAUUAGAGAGAAGCUGCACUCAUCGUGAAAACUGCCAUAAACCAUUUGCCGAAGGUUACGCCAUGACGGAGAAGUCUGCAUCUUCUCCCCUAAGGAGCCCGAUGAGAGGACAGACAUACUGCAUUGUUCAUUGUCUUCAAUCAGGCCAGAUCUGAGGGCAACCCAUAAGCUUAUCUGCAUGAAAUUAAAUCGCCAGUUCCCUACCCCACCCCCAGAUCAGCUACAAGCACCAAGCCAAAUACAGAUAAAUGCAUGACAGAGUUCAUUAAAGUGGCUGAAAAUCAAGAUGGAGCAGCACAGUUUACAUCAGCACUAUCCCAGGAAAUAAAGAUAAAUUCCCCCACUUCAUAUUUUAACACAGCUUAUCAUAAUCACCGGUAAUAGCAACCAAAUGGUUUUCAUUUGUUACACUGGAAGUGGGCUGGGGGAGCAGUUUCCUGGGUUUAGGCUCAUCCAGUUUAAUUUUAAGCUGGUGUCAGGGGUCACUUCCACAUUGUGUUGUGUUUCUGAUGAGCGUUUUUUGCUGCAGUUUGUACAUGUGUAAUACCUGGGCUGGAUAAGCCACUGUAGAGAGAAAGUGGCUAUAGAAGGCAAGGGAGGAGGAAAUGGUAUAAACCCACUGAGUUUAUAAAAGAAAAAAACAAACACAAAAACCAAAAGAUGUUGCAUGGCUCACAUUUCAGAGAUGGGUCCAGGGGACCAAUUUAUUGCACGGCAGGGACGAGAGGUCUGGGGUGGACAUUGGUGUGAUAUGAUGAACUAGGUGAGCGAGAUGGGGGUGGUUACUGUAUAUUCAUGCUGCUAAUAAGCAUUAGAGAGGAGCCCUAGCCAAAAUGCAUGUGGGUGUUUGGAUCCCAGGUUUGGUUCAGACUCAUCUCUAUAUAAAAUACAGCCCUUCCUCUAGAAUGGUUCCUUACAGACAUCUUUGCUAGAGAGGGCGGUGGGAACUAGGGACCAGGAAGUCCUGAGUUCUAACCCUUGCUCUAGCGUGACUUUGCGAAAGUCAUUUAAACUGCUUGGAGUCCAGUUUUCCCUGACUGUAAACUGCCAGCAGUGACGGCUGCCUCUGGCAAUGGAGCAUUGUGGCGAUCAGCAUGUGAAGUGCCCUGAAGAUCGCAGAUGCUAAAUUCUGGGCUGGAUUGCACUCUCUUCUGUUAAAACCUGGGGGAGAAGGCUGUGAGCAUAGGCGCCGACUCUGGGGGUGCUCCGGGGCUGGAACACCCACCAGGAAAAAUUAGUGGGUGCUCAGCACCCACUGGCAGCCCCAUGGGUCAGCACCUCCCACCCGCCGAGGGCCCUGCCGAUCAGCUCCUCCUCCUCCCUAAAUGUGCCUCCCACCUGCUGCGAUCAGCUGUUCAGAGGUAUG